ensembl:lncRNA
UAAAAUCAGCACUUUGAUGUCAGCAGAUGCCUAUUAGAAUGCUAAUAUUAAAGGAGUUCUCCAAAUCAAGUCAUGAUGGAUUGGGGAUCAGCAUUCAUGGCUGGAGUAGAGAGAUGAAGAGCCACUCUGAAAGUUAGUUUAACACUUUUGUAUAAAGCUAGAUAGUCUGGGGUAUGAUCCUCGACCUAAGCCUUAUGAAAUUCGCCAAGUUAAUGUUUAUAGAAGAUUAAAAAACAGUUUUCCUCAAACACAGAAGGAUGGGUAGACAGAUGCAACACACAAGAAGAAAAACUAUAAAGAAGCCUAGAAAAUGUUCCUAUCACUGCCAACACAAGUGCACGUACAAAGUAAGUCAUCUGAGCAUAUAUUCCUCAAUCAUAAGCAUAACGAGGGGAUACUUGGUUGUAACAUAUCCAGAUGUUGUGGCUAUAUGGAUAUUUCUCCCAACAAACAACAGGAUAGAAUGAACUCCACAGGAAAAUACUGCCCUGAUGAUUGGUUGCAAAAACAAGGGAAGGGCUACAAGUUUGACAUAAGCUUUAAGUCAUGGAUUGAUAGUGAAAUAUCCUGUGCAGUCAAGAAAUCACAUCUCUUGGUGAUCAAAGACAAGGGAGAAUUGGUUUGGACAAAAGAAAUCAGAAGUGUUUUCAUAGCUGAUGCUCAGCUGCUUUUCUGGGUCUUCCUUCUCAGGAUUUCAUUCAGAGUAAAAUUCAUGAUGAAAUGUACUUUUGGAUUGGGUGAACAUUACAGACCCACAGGAAACAUGGACCUGGUUUGACUGCACACCUUUAUACCAAGUUGUGAGUGCUUGGUAUUUGUAUAUGAUUAGGGAAAUGUAAGACCUCCAGAGAUCACACCCUACUGGUAGCUCUGGGGAACUUCAAGUGGUCAGAUGACUGCAGGAUGGAAGAGUUUGAUACCUGCUAAUAAGUGAAGGUUCAUAAAAUCUGUCUUAGAGAACUACAAGGAUCCUAAAAUAAGGUAUGGCCUCAUUUAGAAUUUCAAACCUGUCUGUGAGUUGCUUUUUUAAUCAGGUGACCUAAUAGUGCUAGAAAAGUAAGACCUGGCUUUUAAAUUUCUUUGAUCAGGCAGCUGCUGCUAAGUCAAUGAAUCUAUAGCUACUGUCAAUACCAUCAGAGAUCUGAGAAGGAAGUAUAAUCCAAAUGAUUUAUGUAUCAACUAAAAUGACAGGGUUGUUGCCCUGGGUUCUCAUUAGGCAGCAUUAGGAAGAAUGGGUGUAGGUUUUCAGCUAGCAUACAGGACAACAUUGGCCUUUUGCUUCCAGACCCAAGUCUGAGAGUAGGAACCUAGGGGACUGACUUGACUUUACAGAGUACAACAGUGAACUCAGCAGUGUCCACAAUUUGUUCACGGUCCCGGUCCCGAUGGCAGAUGAGGCAUGAGGUGGUAUUUCCCAGUGCUUAGCACUACCACAGUCCAGAUGGAGUAGUCAUGACCCAUCUGUCUUCUUCGGAAACCUCAGGGCUGCUUCUAGGAACUGGGAUUUCUGUCUGUCAAGGUGUUUUCUAUUAAAAAUUUAAAUGUCAUAUUCAGCAGAUCUCUAAAAGUUUUGAGGUCCGUCUAUUAAGUGAUUUUAAAUGAACUUUGUUUAUCUUUAGUUUCUUGUUCUAGGGUUAACAUUGGAAAUAUAUUCAGGAAGCUAAAGAAAGCAUGGGCCUAUAACUGAAUUAUAUUUGUAAGGAAUUUGAUAAGAUCUAAGCUGACUAUUAAUCUGCAUGCCUUAAUUAUCUUUAACAGUUUACAAGUUAAUAGCCUUUAUAAUAUUAGAACCCUACAAUUAUAUCCCUGUUAAGUUUAACCUUAAAAAGUUAUAACUCUUGAAUUGAAGUAUUGGGUUUUUUGGUAACCAAAUAAAAUGUUAAAUCAUAAAUACA